rnacentral:rRNA from 1 species
AGUGAACGCUGGCGGUAGGCCUAACACAUGCAAGUCGAAUGGCAGCACAGGAGAGCUUGCUCUCUGGGUGGCGAGUGGCGGACGGGUGAGGAAUACAUCGGAAUCUACUCUGUCGUGGGGGAUAACGUAGGGAAACUUACGCUAAUACCGCAUACGACCUACGGGUGAAAGCAGGGGAUCUUCGGACCUUGCGCGAUUGAAUGAGCCGAUGUCGGAUUAGCUAGUUGGCGGGGUAAAGGCCCACCAAGGCGACGAUCCGUAGCUGGUCUGAGAGGCUGCUCAGCCACACUGGAACUGAGACACGGUCCGGACUCCUACGGGAGGCAGCAGUGGGGAAUAUUGGACAAUGGGCGCAAGCCUGAUCCAGCCAUACCGCGUGGGUGAAGAAGGCCUUCGGGUUGUAAAGCCCCUUUGUUGGGAAAGAAAUCCAGCUGGCUAAUACCCGGUUGGGAUGACGGUACCCAAAGAAUAAGCACCGGCUAACUUCGUGCCAGCCGCCGCCGUAA